UACGAAGGAUGCAAGCGUUAUCCGGAUUCAUUGGGUUUAAAGGGCGCGUAGGUGGGUUUGUAAGUCAGUGGUGAAAGCCGGUCGCUUAACGAUCGAAUUGCCAUUGAUACUGCAGACCUUGAGUACAGAUGCUGUGGGCGGAAUAUGACAUGUAGUGGUGAAAUACGUAGAUAUUCGGAGGAACACCAGAAGCGAAGGCGGCCAACUGGCCCGAUACUGACGCUGAGGCGCGAAAGCGUGGGGAGCAAACAGG
rnacentral:rRNA from 1 species